rnacentral:rRNA from 1 species
UACGUAGGUGGCAAGCGUUGUCCGGAUUUACUGGGCGUAAAGAGCGCGCAGGCGGUCGUUCAAGUCGAGUGUGAAAGCCCCCGGCUCAACUGGGGAGGGUCAUUCGAUACUGAUCGACUCGAAGGCAGGAGAGGGAAGUGGAAUUCCCGGUGUAGUGGUGAAAUGCGUAGAUAUCGGGAGGAACACCAGUGGCGAAGGCGACUUCCUGGCCUGUUCUUGACGCUGAGGCGCAAAAGCUAGGGGAGCAAACGGG